UAAUCAGAAGAGGUGGAGAACCUAUUCAGUUUAGGAUUACAAUGCAAUACGGUCUUUCUCUAAUACAAUGCUCUUGAUCACAUUGUUUGGAUUGAUAGUUUAUUCAUGUCUACUAUCCAAUGUGAUUCAUUUACUUAUAUGAUUACUUUGAAUGUGAUUUGGAAUGACUUCCUAAAUCUCAUUCAUACUCUGGCCAGAGAUUCUUAAUCAUAUCAUAAAGUAUUCUCCCCCAAACAGUUUGAAGGUUAGAGAUCCCUUGUUGCGCAUUCACUUGCCUCCAUGGCUAAGUGGCUUAACCCCGACGAUGCCGUGGACACCCGCGGAUGGGGUGACUUUGACAUAAUCAAAGAUCAAGUACCUAACCACAAGACAACUAUGAUGCCUCAGGUCAAAGGACUACUUUGCAUUAUCCCAACCAUGAGUUCUCAUGUGACAUGAGUAUGAGAACUCCUCGUUGAUCGUGUUCAGUGGACUCAUUCAUUAUUGAGCACCUACAUGCUUGUCUUGGUGUCAAUCACACCAAUGACUCGAGACUAGUCACUCUCACUAAGAGAAGACAUAGCAUGUACUGAUCUUAACGGACUGUCAAUGCCCAAUUGGCAAUCCUAUGAUCAGGAACGUUUAGGAUAUGUAUACGAAAGAGAAUGGUCUCAGUAAUCUAACUUGUUUAAAUCACAUUCUCCUAAUUACAUAUUCCUUGGACUUAUCGUUUAAGCAUAUAACAUUUAUAUGAGACGGCUUAAACAAUAAUAUUUGCCCUUGAUAUUAAACUAGAUUAGUUUAGCAUGUGAAAUGUCCGUAAAGUAUCAUCAUAUGAUUGGUUUUAGGGCACAUUUCCAACAGUCUGUACGACAGGCUAGGUGUAAAUAUGCUCAAGUGCUACGAUCACGUGAAGAAUGUGCAAAGUAUCGCAAGUCACCUAUGAGUCAGAACCACCUAAUGUGGUCUGUAUGACAGGUUGGCACCAGCCUUGGAUCCAUGGUGAAUGUGUGGUGCGGGAGCUGAAUGAUCACAUGAAGGCUAGGCCCAGGCCUCGGGCGAACCACUAACACCGGGGUGCAGGACAAUGAAUUCUACGUACAACAAUUCAUUACUAACUACUACGUAAUCAUACCAACAAUGUGUACUUACCUGAACUUACCCUGGCAUCCGUAAUAAUAUGCAAUAUUAUGCAAAGCUAUACUAAACUGUAUGCUAAAUAUAAAGCAAAUAUGACAUGGCAUUUUAAAAUGUAAAAACCAUUUAAAACUAUUUCUGGGAAAACGUAAAGCAUAUAUGAACGUAUAUAUAGAAAAUCAAAAGCCCACUCAUUGGUAUGUAGCCGGGUCGUAACCCCCUAGUCUCGCCUGGCUGCGCUCGCCCUCCGGAAACGUCUCACCUAUAUGUGAAACCACUAUUUUAACGUCAAUUUUAAGCACAUAACCAAAAUCGUGUAAUAACAUCUCAUACGUUGUUCAAUUUGAGUGUUUGAAUAGACCUUUGUGGCCUACUCAACACCAUGAGCAUCCCCAUAUUUCUAGAAAAUUUUUCCAACGUCCCACGCGCCCUCACGCGCCGACCAUGCGCAGGCACGUGCUUGGCACAUGGACGGAAUCCCUAACGACGUUAGGGAAUAUUUCAUCAAAUAACAACAUAUUCUGUUUAAAAUUAACGGUGUUACCUGACGCCGUUAGCAUAUUCUGUCAAAGUUGACGGAAUAUUCCUUAUCUUCUCCGAUGGUCCUCACCGGAGUUGUCGCUGGCCUUUGUCUGCGUAUUUGGGAAUUGGAAAAUUUUCAAACUUUAAUAUCUUCCUCGUUUUUCAACCAAAUUCCACGAAAUUUAUGUCAAAUUGAAGCCCUAAA
rnacentral:lncRNA from 1 species